rnacentral:lncRNA from 1 species
UCCAGAAGAGUAUGACAUCUGACCACUUCUUCUUUCAAGUUUGCUUUAAUCAAGAAGUUGCUAAGAACCAGAGCAUCACCCCAGCGAGAUGA